rnacentral:tRNA from 1 species
CGGGAUGUAGCGCAGUUUGGUAGCGCGCCUGCUUUGGGAGCAGGAUGUCGCAGGUUCGAAUCCUGUCAUCCCGAC